UAUCACUAUAUCGGUAGCAGCAGCACUCCCGGCUUUGGCAAAUCUGAGAGCAGAAAGCUACUGAUCCUUAAAGGCGUCUUUAAUAUAUCUGACAAACGAAAGAGUGGUUGGAUGGUUCAAGAGAAUAAGAACUACAGGUCACGUUGGAAGUGUGAUCCUUUAACACUGCACUGGGGCUUUAGGAAGAGUCAGUGAGAGCUCCCACGGCACCACAACCAACAAGCAGAUCCCUCCAACAUCCUUCAAUAGCUCCGGAGAUGGAAGACCACACCCCACCAAUUGACUUUAAUUUCUACUUCAACUUUCCUCCUCAUUCAUUAGGAGCUGAGCUUCACGCAGAUUACAGCUCCUGACAUGCAAACCCCGAUGAUGAUUUCAGGCGCUGUGUGCCAUACAAUCAAGUUCUGUGCGCUGAGAUGCGGCCACGGCAGAUCGAAACGAGAAGCCUGAAUGUCUGCUACCAGUGAGGGGUUACAUGGGGAGAGAGAUUCCCUUAUUUCUCCCUUAAGAUACCCACGGUUCACCCGCAGGCGACGCACACGUAUGAGAGCAGCUCUUAACAAAUGAAUCAGAAAGAAAGCGAAGCUCGGUGAUUGCCCAGAGCGAUAAGAGGGGCAGAGUGAGGAGGACACACAGCCACCCCUCGGAAACAGCAGCAACGCAAUCGCGUGUUCAUUGCUCAGCCAAAGGCAAUCAAAUCACCCUGCUCAGAUCGACGGCCUUCAAAUAAGGAAGUAGCGUGGAAAUAAUAAGUGUGACAGCUCUGGGGCUGCUUUCCCCACCCCCCAAAAAGAGAACGUGAAAGAACCCGGCCGGGGUUGGGCGGAGGGGAGCGGAGCAGCCCGUGUUCUCCCUCCAUCCUCGGCCGGGCUGUGCGCUGCCGGACACGAGUCACCGCGGUGCAAACAGCGCACACCGAGCUGACGGGCAGCACGGAGCGAUGCGGGCAGCGCAGCCCGCAGCCUGGCGGCGGCUGCACGGAGCAGCGGGAGCUGUCAGACGUUAGGAAACAAAGUUUGAGAGCUGAGCAGAGCGAUCCCCUCCGCCAACAGCGACCGCACGGACACAGCGGGACGGGACGGGACGCGGAUCUCCACACACACCGGAGCCGGGCAGCGCUAUAACACCGGAAAGAAAAACAACACUGACUCGUGUGUCAGCUGCUUUGCAAAUAGCUGCUGCUGACCAAGCAGGAUGCAGAGACCUUCCUUCAGACGGAGUGGAUGUAUGUCAGACAGCGAGUUGUGAUGAGAAAAACAGUUUAUGAAGACAUGAGCCAAGAACAACAGCUCGACAAAGGAGUCUGAACUUUCCCUGAUAGCUCUUUGGGGCGUAGAUAGUUAAGUUUCUUUAAGCAUUUGUAAGGGAAACAUGGCAUUCCUUCAAGCUGAACCUCCUCCCUUGGGUUCCCACUGGAUGCCUGAGAGAUGACAGUAUUGGGUGUCUCCAGAAGGCUAAUAUUAAACAUGAGGGAUUGGUGUGGAGAGAGCAAGCAGAGAGUGAGAUUCCAGUUUUGACCACAGAAUGAGCUCAGAACGUUUUGCAUCAGCAACUCUAUCCGGUUUCUUACUCGUUCCCUGUACCCAGCUCCUCCUGUUCAAAGGAUUCCUCUGUGCCCUCGCAUUAGUGGAUGCACCUGCCCUUUGUGUGCAAGCUUCUCCUAAAGGGUAAAUUUGCUUCAGACAAACAGAAAGUGCUGAGGCAGUGUAAUGUGAGUUGAAUUAACCUUGGAAGGAAGGGCAGCCCCAGCUCGUUUACCCAAUCGCUGUCCACAGCAGCACGAGCAAGGCUGACUGAGGAGCCGAUGGGUGAACUGUGUGGACACAUGGAAGAGAUACAGGAAGGAAAUGGAGAAUAAAUUGGGGCUUAAGCCAGCAUGCUGUUUCUAAUUCUGCAGCUGUGUGAAGAUGGGGAAGUGAUCUGGGCAGUCCAAGCAUGGCCCCAGCGGUGCAGCUCCUGGGAUGGAGCAGCAGCCACCGCACCCUUUCCUGUUCACCCUGUGGCCACACGCUGCCCUGUCAGCUCUUCUACAUCAGGCAGAGCCCUGCGGAAGGAUUGCUCGUGCAGAUGCAGAUGGCUCUGGCACCGAUGUAGCUGGCAGCAAGGGGGGGUGAGCGGCUCUAACGCUUACACUGCUGGUGUGCCAAGUCGAGUGCCCCCCGGUGGGACAUGGAGAUCUGGGAGCUGCUGAUGUUCAGCCUCGUCUCCUGUAAGAGGCAAUAUUUACUUACAUAAAAGGGUUUGAGCCGUG